UGCAGUCGUACGCGAAAGAAGGGCAACCUUCGAGUAAAGUGGCGCACGGGUGAGUAACACGUGGAUAACCUGCCCCAAAGUCUGGGAUAACGUGCCGAAAGGUGCGCUAAUACCGGAUACCUUUGUGCCUCACAAGAGGUAUAAAGAAAGGAGGCCUCUGCUUGCAAGCUUUCGCUUUGGGAUGGGUCCGCGGCCUAUCAGGUAGUUGGUAGGGUAACGGCCUACCAAGCCUACGACGGGUAGCUGGUCUGAGAGGACGAUCAGCCACAUUGGGACUGAGACACGGCCCAGACUCCUACGGGAGGCAGCAGUGGGGAAUAUUGGGCAAUGGGAGAAAUCCUGACCCAGCAACGCCGCGUGGAGGAUGAAGGCCUUCGGGUUGUAAACUCCUGUCAGCAGGGAAAAAGAUUGCAAAAGCUAAUACCUUUUGCAGUUUGAUGGUACCUGCUAAGGAAGCACCGGCUAACUACGUGCCAGCAGCCGCGGUAAUACGUAGGGUGCAAGCGUUAUUCGGAAUCACUGGGCGUAAAGGGCACGCAGGCGGUUUUGUAAGUCUAAAGUGAAAUCCUUGGGCUUAACCCAGGGGCUGCUUUAGAUACUGCAAAACUCGAGUUCGGGAAAAGCAAGCGGAAUUCCUGGUGAAGGGGUGAAAUCCGUAGAUAUCAGGAAGAACACCAGUGGCGAAAGCGGCUUGCUAGAACGCAACUGACGCUUA
rnacentral:rRNA from 1 species